GAGGGUGCACUGCACUCAGUGACAGUGACUGUCACCAUCACUCGCGCAGAGCUGAACUAGGCAAUUGCCUAUGCCAGUGGUGGUCCGUGGGUCACCCAACGGUCAGCGCCGACGGUGGCUCUGCUCUUGCACAUCUCAGCUGAGCUGCUAGCGGUAGCGCCGGAGCGGGUGCACGUAGAACUGCGGUGGGACAGUGUGGGUACGGACUGCACUCUGUUGGGCUGGCUUCGGUGAAGGGAGCUACGAUCGGCAUUCGGCAGCAGUUAGAGUCUCCUCCCUAUCCUAGCUGUAAGCAGCAAUAACACCCCUCCCCUCCUCAUGUCCCGCCCCCUCAACAUCCAGCAUGCCUAUAUCAAGUCCCACCUACGGCUUCCCCAAAGCUGCUGAGCGGCAUCUUAUUCCAGCAGCCCCAAUUCACAGAGGUUCCCCCUGGCAACGCUGUAUAAGGAUGACAGGAGGCUCCUGGCCAGUUCCGGACUAUUCGGAACAUAUGGUUAACUGGCUGCCUGAUAACAUCAACAGGAACAUGGAAAGGCUGGAUGCACAGGACAGGGUGGCACCCGGUAACAGACUCUCUCCAUGGCAGUUUAAGGAGCCCACAUGAGUUAUGGGGGGUAACAUAAAAGAGGUUCAGGAGUACAUUGGUUACCUUUGAGAAGAAUUCCUUGAAUAAUCCCAACAAAGGUCUUUCUGGCCUAUUAACAUCUUAAACUGUAGUUUGUGGCACAGUGGAUCUCUGUUACAUGUGAAAAAGGGGCCAAUAACAUGGAACACAGAUGAUACGUACUUCCGCCACCGAAAGUGAAACGCAGCUGGAAUGCAGUAAUUUCCCAGUUUCAAGGGAAUAGUCCAGCGACGUUAGAAUAAGACUAAUGUCAUCACAUCAAGCCAUGUGCACUGUCUGGAUCAGCAGAUUGGUUGUGCAUACAGGUCAGGGCCAUCUUAAUGUAAAGGAACACUGGGCAACUUACCAAGGCCCUACAAUUCUAGGGGUCUUGAAACAGGGGUACGCUAGGUCAGGGGUCAGGCUAGGCCAGGGGUCACAUCUGGAGCUUCUUUGGAGGUAGGUAGAG